UGGGGGAUCGUCCAACGGCAGGACAGCAGACUCUGGAUCUGCCUAUCUAGGUUCGAAUCCUAGUCCCCCAGCCA
rnacentral:tRNA from 2 species